GUGAGGAAUAUUGCGCAAUGGAGGCAACUCUGACGCAGCCAUGCCGCGUGCAGGAAGAAGGCGCUACGCGUUGUAAACUGCUUUUAACCGGGAAGAAACCCCAGGACGUGUCCUGGGUUGACGGUACCGGAGGAAUAAGCACCGGCUAACUUCGUGCCAGCAGCCGCGGUAAUACGAAGGGUGCAAGCGUUAUCCGGAUUCAUUGGGUUUAAAGGGUGCGUAGGCGGAGCGUUAAGUCAGUGGUGAAAUCCUGCAGCUUAACUGUAGACUUGCCAUUGAUACUGGCGCGCGUGAGUGCGCUUGAAGUGGGCGGAAUGUGCCGUGUAGCGGUGAAAUGCUUAGAUAUGGCACAGAACACCAAUUGCGAAGGCAGCUCACUAAGGCGAUACUGACGCUGAGGCACGAAAGCGUGGGGAUCGAACAGGAUUAGAAACCCCAGUAGUCC
rnacentral:rRNA from 1 species